rnacentral:rRNA from 1 species
GACGAACGCUGGCGGCGUGCUUAACACAUGCAAGUCGAGCGGUAAGGCCCUUUCGGGGGUACGACGAGCGGCGAACGGGUGAGUAACACGUGGGUGACCUGCCCUCAGCUCUGGGAUAAGCCUGGGAAACCGGGUCUAAUACUGGAUAUGACUCCAUGACGCAUGUUGUGGGGUGGAAAGCCUUGUGCGGCUGAGGAUGGGCCCGCGGCCUAUCAGCUUGUUGGUGGGGUGANGGCCCUACCAAGGCGACGACGGGUAGCCGGCCUGAGAGGGCGACCGGCCACACUGGGACUGAGACACGGCCCAGACUCCUACGGGAGGCAGCAGUGGGGAAUCUUGCGCAAUGGGCGAAAGCCUGACGCAGCGACGCCGCGUGAGGGAUGACGGCCU